AAGUGGAGCAAUCCAUGAGUAGAGUGGCAAACGGGUGAGUAACGCGUGGGCGACCUACCUCAGAGUGGGGGAUAACCUUCCGAAAGGAGGGCUAAUACCGCAUGACAUACCGUGUUUGGAUACACGGAUAUCAAAGCCGGGGAUCGCAAGACCUGGCGCUUGGAGAGGGGCCCGCGUCCGAUUAGCUAGUUGGUGAGGUAACGGCUCACCAAGGCUCCGAUCGGUAUCCGGCCUGAGAGGGCGGACGGACACACUGGAACUGAGACACGGUCCAGACUCCUACGGGAGGCAGCAGUGGGGAAUUGUUCGCAAUGGGCGCAAGCCUGACGACGCAACGCCGCGUGGAGGAUGAAGACUUUCGGG
rnacentral:rRNA from 1 species